UUAAAAGUUUGGUCCUGGCUUUAAUGUCAAUUUUAAUCAAUAUUAUACAUGCAAGCAUCUACAAACCAGUGAAAUAAGCCCUUAAUAAAAAAUAAGGAGACGAUAUCAGGCACAAUUUAACCUAGCCUACAACAUCUAGCUAAGCCACACCCACAAGGGCAAGCAGCAGUAAUCAACAUUAACAAAUAAACUCCAGUUUAAUUUAGAUAUCAUUAAAAGAGUUGGUCUAUCUUGUGCCAGCCACCGCGGUUAUACAAGGAACUCAAAUUGACAUUUUACGGCGUAAAAAGUGACAAAAAAACAAUUAUAAAUUAAGAUUAAAUACUCAUUAAGCUGUUAUACGCUAUUAUGCAACAAAAACCACCAAUACAUCUUAAUAAAAUAAUUAUAUUUGACUCACGACUGUUAAAACACAAACUGGGAUUAGAUACCCCACUAUGUUUAACAAUAAAACAUGAAUAAUUACAAUAAAACUCUGCCAGAACACUACGAGCAACAGCUUAAAACUCAAAGGACUUGGCGGUAUCCCAAACCCCCCCAGAGGAGCCUGUUCUAUAAUCGACAACCCACGUUUUACCUCACCAUUUUUUGCCCAACCAGCCUAUAUACCGCCGUCGCAAGCCCACCUUUUGAAAGAACAUUAGACAGCUAAACUGAAUAAAACCAAACACGUCAGGUCAAGGUGUAGCAUAUGAAAUGGAAAGAAAUGGGCUACAUUUUUUUACAAAAACUAUCACGACAAACAUUAUGAAAUAUGUGUUAAAAGGCGGAUUUGGUAGUAAGACAAAAUCAUUAUAUUAGUCUUAAACCGGCCCUGGGAUGCGCACACACCGCCCGUCACCCUCAUCAAAAUACUGAUCAAUUAUUAAUAAAAUAUACCAUUAUUAACAAGAAGAGGAAAGUCGUAACAUGGUAAGCGCACUGGAAAGUGCUCUUGGAUUAUU
rnacentral:ncRNA from 1 species